rnacentral:tmRNA from 1 species
GGGGCUGUUUUGGUUUUGACAGCGCUGAUAUCGGACGGUAAGCACGUCGGGCGUGGGAGCCUAGCCCGUAAAUCUCAGACUCCGAACAUUCAGUUGCCAACAACAACUAUGCACUCGCUGCUUAAUCUGCCAUUGUAGAUUAACUUAAUCGGGGAGGCCAAGGCUGCCCCUCCGACGAGUAUCCCGCCAUGGUUUUCCGCCGGUUAUCGAUGGCAUACGGGGUAUCAUCCAAAUCGGACGCACGAAGCCUGACACCCCUGGGGCUUCGCCAAGAUCAGGGGAUAAGCGGCGGAUGGCCGGCCUUCCGGCAGUCCUCCGUCGAAAACCAAAGGAAGGCUAAACGUGUAGAAAGCUGCCUGGUGCGGUGUUUGGACGGCGGUUCGAGUCCGCCCAGCUCCACAA